rnacentral:sRNA from 1 species
GCAUGUUUGAUCCCUGUCCUGGUCACCCUUGCCCCGGUCCUGGUCUCUCCCCGUCUCUGUCCCUGUCCUGGUCUCUCCCCGUCUCUGUCCCUGUCCUGGUCUCUCCCCGUCUCUGUCCCUGUCCUGGUCUCUCCCGUCUCUGUCCCUGUCCUCGUCUCUCCCCAAUCUCUGUCCCUGCCCUGGCCUCUCCCCACCUCUGUCCCUGCCCUGGUCUCUCCCCGUCUCUGUCCCUGUCCUGGUUUCUCUUCGUCUCUGUUCUUGUCUUGGUCUCUCCUUGUCUCUGUCCCCGGCAUCUGCCUGACUCUGUCCUUGGCCUCGGGGUCCAGGCUAUCAGGGCGUCUGGGGCGCUCAGAGAGCCUGCGGGUGAGUGACCGCCGCCGGCCUUCCCGGGGCAGCCUCGGGGCUAAGGGCCGGGGUGGGGGCCGCUCCCGGAGCGACGUGGACAUGGACCCCAGUUCCGCCACGGCAGUGCUUGGCCCUGCCCGACGAGCCACGUAUGUCAACCCUCUCCCUUCCCCCAUCCACUAAGGCAGCCUGGAGAAUCAGGGAGGGAUUGUUGUCAGAGUCACAGAGGAAUGGGCGUUGGAGACCGAGGUCAUUGAGGCCAACUGUGGUCACAGACCUCGGAGGAGGAGGGGGUAGAAUGCUUCUAGAGAUCUGGGAACUCUAGUGUGGUCCGAUCUAGAGACCUGGUCUGCUGCACGGGCCACCCUGCGGGCAUCGAAUGCCAAGGCCACUGACCGGGGUUGAACGCUCUAAGAGGUUGAAGGCUGCUUCUCGGGAUGGCCCAAGCUGGGGCCCUAACAAGGCCUCUGUCCACAGCCCCGAGCCUGGAGAUGAGGGGGAGCCGGGGCGGUCGGGACUGGAGCUUGAACCAGAAGAGCCUCCCGGCUGGCGGGAACUCGUCCCCCCAGACACCCUGCACAGCCUGCCCAAGAGCCAGGUGAAGCGGCAGGAGGUCAUCAGCGAGCUGCUGGUGACAGAGGCGGCCCACGUGCGCAUGCUGCGGGUGCUGCACGACCUCUUCUUCCAGCCCAUGGCAGAAUGCCUGUUCUUCCCCUUGGAGGAGCUGCAGAACAUCUUCCCCAGCCUGGACGAGCUCAUCGAGGUGCAUUCCCUGUUCCUCGAUUCCCUGGUGAAGCGGAGGCAGGAGAGUGGCUACCUCAUCGAGGAGAUCGGAGACGUGCUGCUGGCCCGGUUUGAUGGUGCUGAGGGCUCCUGGUUCCAGAAAAUCUCCUCCCGCUUCUGCAGCCGCCAGUCAUUUGCCUUAGAGCAGCUCAAAGCCAAGCAACGCAAGGACCCUCGGUUCUGUGCCUUCGUGCAGGAAGCUGAGAGCCGCCCGCGGUGCCGCCGCCUGCAGCUGAAGGACAUGAUCCCCACGGAGAUGCAGCGGCUAACCAAGUACCCCCUGCUCCUGCAGAGCAUCGGGCAGAACACAGAAGAGCCCACAGAACGGGAGAAAGUGGAGCUGGCAGCCGAGUGCUGCCGGGAAAUUCUACACCACGUCAACCAAGCCGUGCGUGACAUGGAGGACCUGCUGGUCAGCCCCAGCACUUAGCUUGUCCCCAUAAUGCUCCCAUCUCUGCCCCAGAGGCUCAAGGACUAUCAGCGGCGCCUGGACUUGUCCCACCUUCGGCAGAGCAGCGACCCUAUGCUGAGCGAAUUCAAGAACCUGGACAUCACCAAGAAAAAAUUGGUCCACGAGGGCCCACUGACGUGGCGGGUGACUAAGGACAAGGCAGUGGAGGUGCAUGUGCUGCUGCUGGACGACCUGCUGCUGCUGCUCCAGCGCCAGGACGAGCGGCUGCUGCUCAAGUCCCAUAGCCGGACACUGACGCCCACACCCGAUGGCAAGACCAUGCUGCGGCCCGUGCUGCGGCUCACCUCCGCCAUGACCCGCGAGGUGGCCACCGAUCACAAAGCCUUCUACGUCCUUUUUACCUGGGACCAGGAGGCCCAGAUAUACGAGCUGGUGGCACAGACUGUGUCGGAGCGGAAAAACUGGUGUGCCCUCAUCACUGAGACUGCCGGAUCCCUGAAAGUCCCUGCCCCUGCCUCUCGCCCUAAGCCCCGGCCCAGCCCGAGCAGGCCUCUGUGUCUUCCAUUGUCUGGGCCUCUCUGUCUCCCUGUCUCCCGGCCUCGACCUCUGUCUCUGUCUCCGGACCUCCCUGCCUCCCCACCUCCAGCUCUCUGUCUCCCUGCCCCUGCGGCCCCCCAGGGCCAGGGGUGUGGGGUCACCCAGCACUUCCUCCCCUCAGCACCCGAGAACCCCUCCUCAGCAGCUCUGAGAACGGCAAUGGUGGCCGAGAGACGUCUCCAGCUGAUGCCCGGACUGAGAGAAUCCUCAGUGACCUCCUGCCCUUCUGCAGACCAGGCCCCGAGGGCCAGCUCGCUGCCACGGCCCUUCGGAAAGUGCUGUCCCUGAAGCAGCUUCUGUUUCCGGCGGAGGAAGACAAUGGGGCGGGGCCUCCUCGAGAUGGGGAUGGGGUCCCAGGGGGCGGCCCCCUGAGCCCAGCACGGACCCAGGAAAUCCAGGAGAACCUGCUCAGCUUGGAGGAGACCAUGAAGCAGCUGGAGGAGUUGGAGGAGGAAUUUUGCCGCCUGCGACCCCUCCUGUCUCAGCUUGGGGGGAACUCUGUCCCCCAGCCUGGCUGCACUUGAGGUUCCCGCCCAGGAAGGCCUUUUGCAAGGAGAGGAAUGGGGGAGAGGACGUGAGGGACCACCCCCACCCACACAGCUGCCGCAGCAUCUCACACCCCGAGGGCCUGAGGAGAGGGAGCUGUGGGCCACGCCUGGGAGGGGCCCAGCUGGGGUUACUGGCCCCGCAUGAGCCUCGGCCAUCUCUCCCUCCUGCCCUCUGCUUGGGGGACUCAGGGCUCCAUUCUGGAGGGCACCACGGUGACCCGGGCCAUCUCAGUAUUGCCUGUGGGGGCCACCCCUCCACCCCCACCCCCAAGUGCCUUCGCUCUGUUUUUAUACCCUGAAUUGGAGGUUUAUUUUUUAAUAUAUAUUAUCUAAGAAGAGA